rnacentral:rRNA from 1 species
AGUGAACGCUGGCGGUAGGCCUAACACAUGCAAGUCGAACGGCAGCACAGGAGAGCUUGCUCUCUGGGUGGCGAGUGGCGGACGGGUGAGGAAUCCAUCGGAAUCUGCCCAGUCGUGGGGGAUAACGUAGGGAAACUUACGCUAAUACCGCAUACGACCUUCGGGUGAAAGAGGGGGAUCGCAAGACCUCUCGCGAUUGGAUGAGCUGAUGUCGGAUUAGCUAGUUGGCGGGGUAAUGGCCCACCAAGGCGACGAUCCGUAGCUGGUCUGAGAGGAUGAUCAGCCACACUGGAACUGAGACACGGUCCAGACUCCUACGGGAGGCAGCAGUGGGGAAUAUUGGACAAUGGGCGCAAGCCUGAUCCAGCCAUACCGCGUGGGUGAAGAAGGCCUUCGGGUUGUAAAGCCCUUUUGUUGGGAAAGAAAUCUUUCAGGCUAAUACCCUGGGAGGAUGACGGUACCCAAAGAAUAAGCACCGGCUAAUUUCGUG